rnacentral:other from 1 species
UAUCCCCUGCGAUGUGCGUGAUUAACAUUCGUUUUUUGAGCCAACACCUUGGAACCGGGAGCCUGUCCUUGUCAGCUGCGUGCAUGUUCGCCAUUAUCCCGUGAUAGCGGGAGGCGAAAAGCCCAAGGCGACAAUAGGGCGCCCACUUUUCAAACAGGUUCAAAAAGGUGGUUGACACGGCAUAGGCGGGGGUUUU